rnacentral:lncRNA from 1 species
CCAGAGAAGCUGGAGUCGAGGGAAUCGCGGGCGCCAUCGGGACCUACAAGGGAAGUCUAAACCGGAGUUGGGGGUACUCCGGCAAGAUCCUCCGACGCUCAAGUCAGUACUCUGCCGCAACAGAAAUGGAGCACUCGAACGAGAUUUUAGCAGAGUUUUGAGAUAGUAAUUAGAGCUUAGAGGAGAACGUAUUUGGGGGGUCUCUUUUA